UACGAAGGGGGCUAGCGUUGCUCGGAAUCACUGGGCGUAAAGCGCACGUAGGCGGCUUUCUAAGUCAGGGGUGAAAUCCUGGAGCUCAACUCCAGAACUGCCUUUGAUACUGGGAAGCUCGAGUCCGGAAGAGGUGAGUGGAACUGCGAGUGGAGCGGUGAAAUGCGUAGAGAUCUGGAAGAACACCAAAGGCGAAGGCAGCGUCCUGGAUCGUUACUGACGCUCAUGUGCGAAAGCCAGGGGAGCGAACGGG
rnacentral:rRNA from 1 species